rnacentral:rRNA from 1 species
AUGGGAGCUUGCUCCCUGAUGUUAGCGGCGGACGGGUGAGUAACACGUGGGUAACCUGCCUGUAAGACUGGGAUAACUCCGGGAAACCGGGGCUAAUACCGGAUGCUUGUUUGAACCGCAUGGUUCAAACAUAAAAGGUGGCUUCGGCUACCACUUACAGAUGGACCCGCGGCGCAUUAGCUAGUUGGUGAGGUAACGGCUCACCAAGGCAACGAUGCGUAGCCGACCUGAGAGGGUGAUCGGCCACACUGGGACUGAGACACGGCCCAGACUCCUACGGGAGGCAGCAGUAGGGAAUCUUCCGCAAUGGACGAAAGUCUGACGGAGCAACGCCGCGUGAGUGAUGAAGGUUUUCGGAUCGUAAAGCUCUGUUGUUAGGGAAGAACAAGUACCGUUCGAAUAGGGCGGUACCUUGACGGUACCUAACCAGAAAGCCACGGCUAACUACGUGCCAGCAGCCGCGGUAAUACGUAGGUGGCAAGCGUUGUCCGGAAUUAUUGGGCGUAAAGGGCUCGCAGGCGGUUCCUUAAGUCUGAUGUGAAAGCCCCCGGCUCAACCGGGGAGGGUCAUUGGAAACUGGGGAACUUGAGUGCAGAAGAGGAGAGUGGAAUUCCACGUGUAGCGGUGAAAUGCGUAGAGAUGUGGAGGAACACCAGUGGCGAAGGCGACUCUCUGGUCUGUAACUGACGCUGAGGAGCGAAAGCGUGGGGAGCGAACAGGAUUAGAUACCCUGGUAGUCCACGCCGUAAACGAUGAGUGCUAAGUGUUAGGGGGUUUCCGCCCCUUAGUGCUGCAGCUAACGCAUUAAGCACUCCGCCUGGGGAGUAC